AAGCUCUUUUCAUUGCCUGUAUUAGUUAUUCCCUGGGCUCUCGGGCUGUUGUGGAGGAACCUGGGGGUGCAACUUUAAAGCAAAAACGUCUCCGCGCUGGCCAGCAGCGAGUUCAGGUAAAAUGUUUCCAAAAAGGUUAAAGAACUUUGCAUCUUGGAGACAGAGGAGGCAGGCUCUGGGAUCUUACAGGACUUGGAAUAAGAUGGUGACAAGGUCUUGUCCCAAAAGGUCAUUGCCGUGGGUGGCUGCCAGGCUGUGUCCUUCCACUCCAUCCAUCCACCUCCUGCUCCCAUUCAGGACAUACUGGGAAGGAACAGAGAGAGACAGGAGUUAUUUUUAGGCAGCAAACUGAGUUACAGCCCCGCUCUGCCCCCUGUUCCCACAGGGAGACGUGUCCAGCAGCAGCAGCAGCAUUUGAACCCUCUGCAUUGCUCCACCCUGCAAAUGCUCCCCCUGAAUGUCAGGAGAGCAUUCCCAGGGCCUCUGGCUCAGCUCUGGGAUCACUCCCUGCACGGAGCAGGGUCAGGAACCCGCUGGCAGAGGUGAAGGUCGGGGACACCACAGUGCUGGUGGCACCCGGAGCUGCCCGGGAGAGGAGAGGCUUUACCAGCUCCUGAACACUUUGGGAAUGUCCUGUUUGAUCCAACCAUCUCCUGGGGGUGUUCCCAAUCCAUGGGGCUGUUCCCACCCCCAAACACUGUUUGAGCUGAGGGAUAAAUCAAACAGAGUCCUUACCUUUCCCUC